CACAUCUUCUGCCAGUGGAGUCAUGGGCUGCCUGGACUAUCAGAGGAAGGAGCAGUUUCAUGGCUAAAUCAUGAAAGGGAUGAAUUUUCUCUCUUGUAUGGGAGGAUUCUGUACUUCACCUUUUUGCAGAGGCCAAAACUGACACCUGGAAAGAUAAAAGAUGUCAGCUCUCUGCUGGUGUUUCAUCCCAAGUGGAAAGACACUGGGCUGACUUCAGCGCUCAAAGAAUUUGUCCAUGUCUGUGUUCUUUCAGAGAUGAAAUGAAUUCCCUUUCUGUACUAAGAACAGACUCUGAAGUUAAACCCAAGCUGGAUGGGGAUGCUGUGGACCUCACCCCAUGGACCCCCACCACAAUGCACUUGCUCAGAUCUGUUCUGUCUGAUGACAGCACUUCUGUAGUGAGCUCUCAAAGAAGUGAAUUGACCUCAAAUGUCUGCCCAGGGUGCUGCCAUUUCCAUGAGGCCAUGAGGUCUCUACUGGCCUGGGAAGAACAUCAUGGACACGGUUGGCAUUCUGUGGCCCUCUCAGUGCUGAAUCAGUUGAGCUGUUCAUGAAGGCAUCUAAAUUUAACACCAGAACUUCAUGGGCUGUUGUUCAGAGAGGACUCAAGGAUACAGUUUCUUCCAGGGUUGGUGUUCAUCACUAGCUAUUCCUGUAUCAAUUCCAAGAAACCUUCAGUUUCUGUGCUUGCAAGCAUAAGCCUUUUUCUGCAUGCAAACUGCAGAUCUCAGCACCCUGAAAACAAC
rnacentral:lncRNA from 14 species